rnacentral:rRNA from 1 species
CUGGCUCAGAUUGAACGCUGGCGGAAUGCCUUACACAUGCAAGUCGAACGGCAGCACGGGAGCAAUCCUGGUGGCGAGUGGCGAACGGGUGAGUAAUACAUCGGAACGUGCCCAAUCGUGGGGGAUAACGUAGCGAAAGCUACGCUAAUACCGCAUACGAUCUACGGAUGAAAGCAGGGGACUCGCAAGAGCCUUGCGCGAAUGGAGCGGCCGAUGGCAGAUUAGGUAGUUGGUGGGGUAAAGGCUCACCAAGCCUUCGAUCUGUAGCUGGUCUGAGAGGACGACCAGCCACACUGGGACUGAGACACGGCCCAGACUCCUACGGGAGGCAGCAGUGGGGAAUUUUGGACAAUGGGCGCAAGCCUGAUCCAGCCAUUCCGCGUGCAGGAUGAAGGCCUUCGGGUUGUAAACUGCUUUUGUACGGAACGAAAAGCCUUUCUCUAAUACAGGGAGGUCAUGACGGUACC